UGUGAACUUAAUUUUAGAGCAAUUCAAGUAAGGUACAGCCUGCUUGAAACAGGAUACAACCUAAAAAUGUGGGUAAUUAAAUCUUUCUGCCAUAAAGUGGGCCUAAAAGCAGCCACCUUUUGAAUAGCGUCACAGCUUAAUCACAUACAGAUUUAAUAACAAAAAUUUUACCGAACCCCACCCUACUACCAAGCAAUUCUAUAUUUUUAUAGAACUUUUUAUGUUAAAACUAGUAACAAGAAGAACCCCUUCUCUUUAAUGCAAGCAUAAAUCAGCCAGGACCAACCACUGAUAAUUAACACCUAUGAACUAAUAGUAACAACACUUCAAGAAAACCUUACUUCAUCUUAUGUUAACCUAACACAAGAGCAUUAUAAGAAAGAUUAAAAGAAAAAGAAGGAACUCGGCAAACAUUAACCCCGCCUGUUUACCAAAAACAUCGCCUCUUGAUUCUAAUAAGAGGUCCAGCCUGCCCAGUGACUUUGUUCAACGGCCGCGGUAUCCUAACCGUGCGAAGGUAGCGUAAUCACUUGUUCUUUAAAUGAGGACUAGUAUGAAUGGCACCACGAAGGUUAUACUGUCUCCUUUCUCUAAUCAGUGAAACUAAUCUUCCCGUGAAGAAGCGGGAAUAAACAUAUAAGACGAGAAGACCCUAUGGAGCUUUAAACAAGUAUACAACUGCCUUUCCUAUUUUAAAAUUUCAGAAAACAAACCAUUAUUUAGGCAUUUUGAUAUAAAGUUUUAGGUUGGGGUGACCACGGAGAAAAAUGUAACCUCCGCAAUGAACGGGGCUUCCCCCCCUUAACUAAGAGCUACGACCCUAAGAAUCAAUAAAUUGACAUCAAUUGACCCAAUAAAUUUGAUCAAUGAACCAAGUUACCCUAGGGAUAACAGCGCAAUCCACUUCAAGAGCCCCUAUCGACAAGUGGGUUUACGACCUCGAUGUUGGAUCAGGGUAUCCUAGUGGUGCAGCCGCUACUAACGGUUCGUUUGUUCAACGAUUAAAACCCUACGUGAUCUGAGUUCAGACCGG
rnacentral:rRNA from 1 species